CCAGGUAGAACUCGCCAGGUCCGACCACGCCGACGGCGGGAGGGUAGCGACAAGGGGGCAGCCAGUUGGAACUGGAGGGCCGGCGCCGAGGGCCUGCCACUGUGAGACUCCACCGCCAAACACACCAACCCCAAGCUGAGUUAUGUUCUCCCAAAGACCUCUGUGAUGAUGGAAGUCGCAUAUCAUCCCUGGUUUUCUCUCCAUUGAUAGUAGCAGCAGAUUUGGUCGACUUGAAAUUAAAUGAUGCAGUACUUGACCUGAUGUGCUGCAUGUAUAUCUCCGGUGCUGGCUUGCAUGUUCUUUGAUAUCAGGUUUUGCAACAGAAGUUCCAUUUUGAAUUUCCCAUCUGUUGCAGGUUUUGUUACAGAAGUUGACGGAGGUUUGGAAGAUCUUCAAGGUGCUGAAGAUUUGGAAGACCUACGAUUAAGUUGGUGCAGUGAUCAUAUAAUAUGCUUUGUUUGUUGAACCUGGACACUUGCUCUGCUCAUUUUGCUGGUUAUGCCACUAUAUGCUCAUUUUGGUUGUGUGGCACCCUCAGAAAGAUAUGUUCUUUCUCCUUUUGUGGCACAAUUAACAUAUAUGUACUAUACCUUUUG